GGGGUAGUGGCUUAGUGGCUAUAGCGAUCGGCUGCAGUCCGAUUGGUCGGUGGUUCGAGUCCACCCUGCCCCU
rfam:Salpingoeca sp. ATCC 50818 unplaced genomic scaffold supercont1.10, whole genome shotgun sequence.